rnacentral:rRNA from 1 species
AGAGUGAACGCUGGCGGUAGGCCUAACACAUGCAAGUCGAACGGCAGCACAGUGGUAGCAAUACCAUGGGUGGCGAGUGGCGGACGGGUGAGGAAUACAUCGGAAUCUACCUUUUCGUGGGGGAUAACGUAGGGAAACUUACGCUAAUACCGCAUACGCCCUUCGGGGGAAAGCCGGGGAUCGCAAGACCUGGCGCGGAUAGAUGAGCCGAUGUCGGAUUAGCUAGUUGGUGAGGUAAUGGCUCACCAAGGCGACGAUCCGUAGCUGGUCUGGAGAGGAUGAUCAGCCACACUGGAACUGAGACGACGGUCCAGACCUCCGUACGGGAGGCAGCGAGGUAGGGAAUAGUAGGACGAAGUGGGACGCGAAGCCGUGACUCCACGCCCAGUACCGGCGUGGGG